rnacentral:rRNA from 1 species
AGUGAACGCUGGCGGUAGGCCUAACACAUGCAAGUCGAACGGCAGCACAGGAGAGCUUGCUCUCUGGGUGGCGAGUGGCGGACGGGUGAGGAAUACAUCGGAAUCUGCCCAGUCGUGGGGGAUAACGUAGGGAAACUUACGCUAAUACCGCAUACGACCUUCGGGUGAAAGAGGGGGGUCGCAAGACCUCUCGCGAUUGGAUGAGCCGAUGUCGGAUUAGCUAGUUGGCGGGGUAAUGGCCCACCAAGGCGACGAUCCGUAGCUGGUCUGAGAGGAUGAUCAGCCACACUGGAACUGAGACACGGUCCAGACUCCUACGGGAGGCAGCAGUGGGGAAUAUUGGACAAUGGGCGCAAGCCUGAUCCAGCCAUACCGCGUGGGUGAAGAAGGCCUUCGGGUUGUAAAGCCCUUUUGUUGGGAAAGAAAUCUUUCAGGCUAAUACCCUGGGAGGAUGACGGUACCCAAAGAAUAAGCACCGGCUAACUUCGUG